rnacentral:sRNA from 1 species
AAUGGUUAUUGACACUUUCUCAUCUUUCUCAUUCUUUAUGAAGCUUGUCAGUACAGGACGACACUUGGUACGCGGAAGGGUCAACAGACCCAAACCGUAUAGACGAGUUAAAGCCACCCAACAAACUUUCUCCCCCCUUCUUUUCUCAAAACAUCAGGGUUGUUUUGAUCUCUUCCUAUUGUGGCAUACCUGAACAGGAUGCUGUCCUGGUAGGAGGGCUCCUGGGCAUUGGGCGCCACUCAAUGCCACCGCCUGGAUUCCCAACGAAUUAACACACCCAUCUAUGAAACCAGAUUCCUGAGAUAGCAUUCGAGGCGGGAUGUGGGGAAUUCUCCAAGGAACAAUCCCACACUCCGGCACGACCCUGUGCUUGGAUUGUUCUUCCUUGCAGGCUACAAGCGGACAGCGCAUCCGGCAUGACCAACAUGAUCCCUGUAGUACUCUACCAUGCUGGGGUCUCUUGGAACGGAGGUGGUGUUAAUCCGGUAUUUUCAUGGCCGAUCCGUUACCAUAUGAAUUAGGCCUGGAUCUGUCUUCGCUUUGGCGGCAAAAAAAAAAAAAAAAAAAAAAAAAAACCGGAGAAGGAUGGUGUGAUAUUGGAGGAGUUUCGGGUGAGGUGGAGAUUGGGCUAUAAAGGAUGGCCCUUUGACAAGAAUUUGACACCCCCAAACCCUGAAUAGCAUACUAUGCAGGUUACCAAGGAACUUUAUCAAUGCGCAGUGAGAUCAAUCACCAUAUAAUAUUUUGUUUCCUAGGUGCAAAUGACGGGGAAAAACUGAGGCGAGCAGCCGAAACUCCAUAAAAUUAAAAGGAACAAAGACUCUUUGCCCGGAGUUUGCCCCAGAAGCCCGAAGCGAACGAAAGGCAAGGUUGGGAGAACCCCGGAAUAGAGACAUGGGGUUGUCGGGAGAAAGGGGCAACCUGGCCAACCACCUGUGGCAAUAACUUGCAUGGAGAAUGUUGCCGUGGGUAGGCGUCUCAUAUCUUCCUUUCCUGGUAGCAUUUGACUUACUUUCCCCAUUUCCCCGCCUUCGUCAACAUCUCAGAUAUUUCUUACCAGAGCUCAUGUAAAUCACUAAAAUACUCUUGUAAGGAGCAGGGUGAAAUAAUACUCUCAACUCGCCUCAGAAGUGGAUCGAUGGAUCCUCUUGAAGAUCGCUCUCUCUCUCCCUCCACGCUUCUGAUCGGAGCGGAUCCCCUUGGCCGCGGUAGAUUCCUUGCCUUCCUACCCUAACCCCCCUGAGAGAGGAUCAGGUGGUUGGGGGCCAGACUAACCAGAUGGACUCUCUAUGCAUUGGAUUCUGCAGACUGAUGGAACAUUCGUUUGGGACCUUCCUACGUGCGUUAAGCAGGGUAAUUAAAAUGAACCUUUGAUUGUAUGGCACCGGAAAUAAGACAAGACUAAGUCAGAAACAGUAUGAUGGUGUAGGAGUUGUUGAAUUUAGCUUCCUUCGUUUCCCGCAGGACUUUCAUCUCUCUGUUCGAUGGCCAGGAUGUGGACACACAACAACUAAUGAAUUCCAAUUGAUGGUAACCGAGAUCCACAAGGGGGCUUCUCCAAGAUCCAAAACAAGUUGUUCUUCGAAUACUGGGGAUAUAAAACUGAAAACAUGUAAAAGGUAAUGAUUGAUCCCAAAUCGGUAUAGAAAUGUGGCCGUCCUCAGUAUCUAUGCCGUAGCAAAUACAAAUCACGCGAAAUAUGUUUUAAUAGCAUAUAUAUUCAAAAAAGAGUGGGACUAAAUUUUAACACUAGAAGAAGACUUAGGUCAUAUCGUUGCAGAGAGGGGGUGGUUGGUGGCGGAUGAUUCUGUUUGACUUACCUCCAACUAUGUUCUUCGUCUCCAUACUGAAUCCCUUCAAUCCAGUUCUUCAUCUCGAGAGCUACUUUUCCGGCUUCUUCAUUUUCUUUCAAACCACAAUCCACCGUACGUCCUUUCCAGCUAAUGGUGCGGACGGGACUAACAAUAGCCGCAGUCCCUGCUCCGAAUACCUCGAUCAUCCUACCCUCAUCAGCAGCUUGGGCAAUUUCCGACAUUGUCAACUUACGCUCUGAUAUCGUCCAACCUCUGGGGCCCAGCCUCUCCCGGGCAAGAGUGAGGACUGAAUCUCUGGUGACUCCCUCCAAAAUCGUUCCAUCCAGCGGAGCCGUGAUGAGUUCAUUUUGCCCAGUUUCUUUGUUCUUUAACGCAACAAAAAGAUUCAUGGUCCCAACCUCCGUGACGUACUCCUCUUCUCCGAAUAGCCACAGAUUCUGUUGGUGGCCUUUCUUUGCCGCUUCGGUCUGAGGGACAAUGCAUGGAGCAUAAUUUGCACCCAGCUUUUUGUCCCCGACUCCGCCAGGCCAUGCACGAACCGCGUAAUCUGUUGCCUCUAGAGAAAUAGCCUUGAAGCCGGUUGGAUAGUAAGGACCAACAGGGCUAGCAAUGACGAAGAGCAGGGCAGAGGAAGGAGCGCUAACACCCAACGUCUCCUGCGUACCAAUCAUUGUGGGUCUUAGAUACAACGAAUAACCACGAGUUUGGGGGAUAAAUCUGCUGUCUAAUUUAACAAGCUCACUGAUGAGCGUUAUCGCAGCAUCUUCAUCGAGUGUUGGAAGCGCGAUACGCUUCGAUGAUCUAUUUAAUCGUGCCAUAUUCAUAUCUGGUCUGAAUAACCGGAUGCCACCAUCCUUGUCCUUGUAUGCCUUCAUUCCCUCAAAACACUCAAACGCGUAAUGGAAAACGCAGGUCGCAGGGUUGAGACUGAGGUUUUGAAAGGGAACGAUGCUUGGAGACAACCAGCCAUCCUUGGUAUUCCAUUUUACCAUAAGCAUGUGGUCAGUGAAUGUCGACCCGAAAACGAGUUUUUCCGGGGGAGUGAGUUUGCUGGGGGAGGGAUUUUUCGUAAUUGAUAGCUUGGAGACGUCAACUCCAGGUAAUCCAUCGCUCCGGCUUGCAAAACUCGAGGUGUAUUUCCUUUGGCAGGGAACAGAAUAUCUCCAUGCGGAGCUACUGCUGCUAAGUGCAGGAAUUCCCCUACGAGUUAUGGCGGACACAACAGACUUCAUGGUUCUUCACUGGACUAACUCAAUUGGUUUUCGAAAGGGAGAAUACGAGAAAUGGGGGA